rnacentral:rRNA from 1 species
GACGAACGCUGGCGGCGUGCUUAACACAUGCAAGUCGAACGGAAAGGCCUGCUUUCCCUUGUGGAUUGCGGGUACUCGAGUGGCGAACGGGUGAGUAACACGUGAGUGAUCUGCCCCCAACUUGGGUAUAAGCCUGGGAAACUGGGUCUAAUUCCCGAUAGGACUGCAGGGUGGUGCCUGUGGUGGAACACGAUUUUCUAGUGGUUGGGGAUGAGCUCGCGGCCUAUCAGCUUGUUGGUGGGGUAAUGGCCUACCAAGGCGGCGACGGGUAGCCGGCCUGGGAGGGUGGACGGCCACAUUGGGACUGAGAUACGGCCCAGACUCCUACGGGAGGCAGCAGUGGGGAAUAUUGCACAAUGGGCGGAAGCCUGAUGCAGCGACGCCGCGUGGGGGAUGACGGACUUCGGGUUGUAAACUCCUUUCGACCGCGAGGAAGCCACCUGGUUGGAAGGGUGGUGACGGUAGUGGUAGAAGAAGCACCGGCUAACUACGUG